AGGAAAAACAUAACCGUUGUGGUAACCGUUUAAGCAAUUCAUAUAACCUUAAAUUUCAAGUUAGCAUAGAGACAAUUAAUAUUCAAUUAGUUGUUAUUAAAAUCCAGGUUUAACUAUAUUUUUUAAGUUGUACUAACCUAUAAAUUGCGGUUAUUGCAACUAAAGGUAUAAACAAAUUUUACUACGAAAAACAGCUGUCAUAAAGUAAUAACUAUAUAAAGUAUAAAGUAGCUAUUCUGCAUUUUUGAUUAGUUAUUGUAAUGUGUAACUAAAUACUAGCGUUAUUCAACUAUUCGUAAGAAGUAUAAACAACUAUUAAUUGUAGUGAUUACAACUAAGCAACUACUUACAAUAGUCAGUAUAGUCACUAUUAUAUAAUAGUUAAUCUAACUAAAAAACAUUUAACUAAUAUUCCUUAUCAAUGGGAAAAGUGCAAGAGGAAAAACUCAGAUACGGACUCAAAGUUUAAGUUGUGACAUCGCUUUUUUAACUGCGGACCAGAGCGUUGGAGUCUCCAGCCAAUGCAACGGUGUCAACGAGGAAAAGGAAAGUAACGGAUGUUCCGUAACCAGCCAUAGAACUAAAGUUUGCACUCGAGAGGUAGAAAUAGUGCUACUGAACCCCCGAGCGGCAAGGGCAUAUACGCCAAACUGUGGGUGGCAAAAAAGCUUGGCUGGAGUUUUGCCGAAGAACAGGUUGUCCUAAUGGCUGACGGUUGGACCCAAGAAAAUAAGGAGGUUGCCGAAUUUUCGACCCGAAAAGUGGAUCUGGAAGUAAACUUAAGGGCCGCAGUGUAAGACGAUCUCAUGGGAGAUGUUUUCCUGUUCCAUGAUUUCCUCGUAGAGCAACAAUUCGCUUGGGACUAUAGCAGUUGCAUAAUCCAUUUGGGGAAAGAAAGACGUGUCUCCGUGAAUUGGAGAAAUCUAAUUGGAUAACAUUGAAUUGAGUCCUAGACUAAUUUUAAGCGUUGGCUAUAGGUAGUAAUUGAGUCAGGUAUCUGCAGCCACUGAGGCGUAUUUCUGUAAUACCUACAUGUUUGAAUUGACUCAGGACUCCGGAGAUGAGUUAUUUGAAUGUUUGUAAUUUGUACUGUAACAUGUAACUUGCAAGUACCUAAUACCUAAAAUAUAAUACAUUGAUAUUUUGAUUGCUGAUUAGUGACAACCUUGAACACGGAGUCUGAAUCCAUACGUUACGACUCACGAUAAAUUAUAUUUUUCCUCGACACUGAUCGCGUAACGAAGAGGAACAGGUGAUUCAGAACGGAGUGAUCGAUUUUUAAAUUAUGUGUUUUGUUCUGUCUUCCAUCGCCUUUGGGAGCAGUAAUAAUGUUUAAUUUUUCUAAUUCAGAAAUUCAACAUACUUCCUGGUAAGAAAAUGAAUCUAGUGGGUACUUCGGUGGAGACUAAAGUAUAACAUUUCCAAAAAACCAAAACAAAAAAAGAAAGACAAAAAUGAAAACGUCAAAAAUCAAAGCAAACAUCCAUCAUUACAAUUACAUUCAUUCGCUAUCCUCAGAAUCUAAAAAAUAAAGAAAAAACAAGAUAUUUAACGUAAAACCAGUUUUUACGACAAAAUCGAUUUUUUUUUUGUUGUGGCUCAGAAACGAAUAACUUUGAAUACUUAAAUUUUUCACAAAAUGUUUAUUAGACCAUCAGGUAAGAAACAUUUUUAAUAAUUUUUUUCAAUUUAUUAUUGUCAUU